CUCACGGCGAAUUCGUAAUAAUUCAAACGAUUUAACCAAGUGGCUAAAUCGUAUGAAAUCAUACGAGCUGGCUCGUACGAAAUCGUACGAUUAGUUCAUCGCAUUUAACACAGCCCUGUGUUGCAGGGAUUUCGUGCUAAUUAAUACGAAUAGAUUAAAUCGUACUAUACCAUACGAUUUUAUUCAUCGCAUUCAAGAAGCGUGACCCGUAGCCAGAAAAAAACUCUGGGUGUGCAUCUGAAAAUCUGCGUGUGUCACAGGCAAGAUAAGCAGAAACGCUGGGGAAUUCAGGUGCUGUAAAUCCGGUGGACAGGACUCAUCUCGUUAUAGAUCAAGAUAAUUUAUAAAGAUCUUUAAACGAAGGAUUGGAGUAUCAGAUAGUUGACAUGGUAAGCAAGUUAGUUAAUAUUUUAAUAAAAAAAAGGAAAAACGAAAUAAAACGAAUAGAAUACAUUAUUGUUGUUGCGGUGUGUCACGUGACAAUCAUGACCCGUCGCCAUGGACACAAGGGGUCAGAUAAAAUAUUUUUAACUUACGCGUGAAAGGGUUGAUUUUAAAUAUAUAUAUAUAUUCUAAGUAAACAACAACAGCCCAAGUUUAGUACAAAAAAAUAUUGAAACUAUAAAUAAAUAUUCUGCAUCAAUUUUAGGUGUGCUACUGUGGGUGGCUCCGGCACACCCGUGGCUACGCCCCUGCCGUGACCCAAAUCUCGUUCGCACAUCAUCGCGAUAUGUAUCAUCUGUUUACAAACGUCGCCACUCGCUUCGUAAAAUGGAAUUACUGGACUUCUCUCCAAUGCUCUAUUACAACGCAGAGAGGCCAGCAUCGCUCCACAAAAGUUUUUGUUAAAAACGUCAACGUUCAGAGGCAUCACUCAGUACCAGUCAUGCAGAAACUUUAUGAGGCUGUUGUAAGAGAUUAGCCUAUCCCCUGUAUGUCACUGAUGCACUACUUCAAAGAUGUGAGGACAAGAACAUACACCUGCGAGUAGUCUUAGACAUUGCCUGUGUUGUUGCCUUACAAUUGCAG